rnacentral:rRNA from 1 species
AACGAUGAACCAGGAGCUUGCUCUUGGGGAUUAGUGGCGAACGGGUGAGUAACACGUGAGCAAUGUGCCCUUGACUCUGGAAUAAGCGCUGGAAACGGCGUCUAAUACCGGAUACGACCUUCGGAGGCAUCUCCUGGAGGUGGAAAGAACUUCGGUCAAGGAUCAGCUCACGGCCUAUCAGCUUGUUGGUGAGGUAACGGCUCACCAAGGCGACGACGGGUAGCCGGCCUGAGAGGGUGACCGGCCACACUGGGACUGAGACACGGCCCAGACUCCUACGGGAGGCAGCAGUGGGGAAUAUUGCACAAUGGGCGCAAGCCUGAUGCAGCAACGCCGCGUGAGGGACGACGGCCUUCGGGUUGUAAACCUCUUUUAGCAGGGAAGAAGCGAAAGUGACGGUACCUGCAGAAAAAGCACCGGCUAACUACGUGCCAGCAGCCGCGGUAAUACGUAGGGUGCAAGCGUUGUCCGGAAUUAUUGGGCGUAAAGAGCUCGUAGGCGGUUUGUCGCGUCUGCUGUGAAAUCCCGAGGCUCAACCUCGGGCUUGCAGUGGGUACGGGCAGACUAGAGUGCGGUAGGGGAGAUUGGAAUUCCUGGUGUAGCGGUGGAAUGCGCAGAUAUCAGGAGGAACACCGAUGGCGAAGGCAGAUCUCUGGGCCGUAACUGACGCUGAGGAGCGAAAGCAUGGGGAGCAAACAGGCUUAGAUACCCUGGUAGUCCAUGCCGUAAACGUUGGGAACUAGAUGUGGGGACCUUUCCACGGUCUCCGUGUCGUAGCUAACGCAUUAAGUUCCCCGCCUGGGGAGUACGGCCGCAAGGCUAAACUCAA